rnacentral:rRNA from 1 species
CUACGGGCGGCUGCAGUGGGGAAUAUUGCACAAUGGGCGCAAGCCUGAUGCAGCCAUGCCGCGUGUAUGAAGAAGGCCUUCGGGUUGUAAAGUACUUUCAGCGGGGAGGAAGGGAGUAAAGUUAAUACCUUUGCUCAUUGACGUUACCCGCAGAAGAAGCACCGGCUAACUCCGUGCCAGCAGCCGCGGUAAUACGGAGGGUGCAAGCGGUAAUCGGAAUUACUGGGCGUAAAGCGCACGCAGGCGGUUUGUUAAGUCAGAUGUGAAAUCCCCGGGCUCAACCUGGGAACUGCAUCUGAUACUGGCAAGCUUGAGGCUCGUAGAGGGGGGUAGAAUUCCAGGUGUAGCGGUGAAAUGCGUAGAGAUCUGGAGGAAUACCGGUGGCGAAGGCGGCCCCCUGGACGAAGACUGACGCUCAGGUGCGAAAGCGUGGGGAGCAAACAGGAUUAGAUAUCCCGGUAGUC